ensembl:snRNA U6 U6 spliceosomal RNA
GUGCUUACAUUGGCAACACAUAUGCUAAAAUUGGAAUGAUACAGAGAAGAUUAGCAUGACCUCUAUACAAGGAUGAUACACAGAUUUCUGAAACAUUCCCUAUUUUU